rnacentral:misc_RNA from 1 species
UCUCCGUUGGUGAACCAGCGGAGGGAUCAUUACCGAGUGCAAAUUCAUAACCCUCUGUGCACCUAUAUCUGUUGCUUCGGAGGCACGCUCUCGGGCCAGCCCGCCGGUAAUAUCAGUAUCUCUGUUUAAACCCGACGAUACUUCUGAGUGUUCUUAGCGAACAGUUAAAACUUUUAACAACGGAUCUCUUGGCUCUA